rnacentral:rRNA from 1 species
GAUUAACGCUGGCGGCAUGCCUAAUACAUGCAAGUCGAACGGAAGCAGCAAUGCUUUAGUGGCGAACGGGUGAGUAACACGUAGGGAACCUACCUAUACGACGAGGAUAACUACUGGAAACGGUAGCUAAAACUGGAUAGGAUCAAUUGAGGCAUCUUGAUUGAUUUAAAGAUCCUUCGGGAUUACGUAGAGAUGGCCCUGCGGCGCAUUAGCUAGUUGGUGAGGUAACGGCCCACCAAGGCGACGAUGCGUAGCUGAGCUGAGAGGCUAAACAGCCACACUGGGACUGAGACACGGCCCAGACUCCUACGGGAGGCAGCAGUAGGGAAUUUUCGGCAAUGGGGGAAACCCUGACCGAGCAAUGCCGCGUGAACGAUGAAGGUCUUCGGAUUGUAAAGUUCUGUGAUUGGGGAAGAAUGGUAUUCUUAGGGAAUGAGGAGUACAUGACGGUACCCGAUUAGAAAGCCCCGGCUAACUAUGUGCCAGCAGCCGCGGUUAA